rnacentral:rRNA from 1 species
UAACACGUGGGUAACCUGCCCAAGAGACUGGGAUAACACCUGGAAACAGAUGCUAAUACCGGAUAACAACACUAGACGCAUGUCUAGAGUUUGAAAGAUGGUUCUGCUAUCACUCUUGGAUGGACCUGCGGUGCAUUAGCUAGUUGGUAAGGUAACGGCUUACCAAGGCAAUGAUGCAUAGCCGAGUUGAGAGACUGAUCGGCCACAUUGGGACUGAGACACGGCCCAAACUCCUACGGGAGGCAGCAGUAGGGAAUCUUCCACAAUGGACGAAAGUCUGAUGGAGCAACGCCGCGUGAGUGAAGAAGGGUUUCGGCUCGUAAAGCUCUGUUGGUAGUGAAGAAAGAUAGAGGUAGUAACUGGCCUUUAUUUGACGGUAAUUACUUAGAAAGUCACGGCUAACUACGUGCCAGCAGCCGCGGUAAUACGUAGGUGGCAAGCGUUGUCCGGAUUUAUUGGGCGUAAAGCGAGUGCAGGCGGUUCAAUAAGUCUGAUGUGAAAGCCUUCGGCUCAACCGGAGAAUUGCAUCAGAAACUGUUGAACUUGAGUGCAGAAGAGGAGAGUGGAACUCCAUGUGUAGCGGUGGAAUGCGUAGAUAUAUGGAAGAACACCAGUGGCGAAGGCGGCUCUCUGGUCUGCAACUGACGCUGAGGCUCGAAAGCAUGGGUAGCGAACAGGAUUAGAUACCCUGGUAGGGGCAGGCGGAAUUCCUGGUGUAGCGGUGAAAUGCGUAGAUAUCAGGAGGAACACCGGUGGCGAAGGCGGCCUGCUGGACUGCAACUGACGUUGAGGCCCGAAAGCGUGGGGGAGCAAACAGGAUUAGAUACCCUGGUAGU